rnacentral:rRNA from 1 species
CCUACGGUGGGCAGCAGUGAGGAAUAUUGGUCAAUGGACGAGAGUCUGAACCAGCCAAGUAGCGUGAAGGAUGACUGCCCUAUGGGUUGUAAACUUCUUUUAUAAAGGAAUAAAACGAGGCACGUGUGCCUUUUUGCAUGUACUUUAUGAAUAAGGAUCGGCUAACUCCGUGCCAGCAGCCGCGGUAAUACGGGGGAUCCGAGCGUUAUCCGGAUUUUUUGGGGUUAAAGGGUGGGGAGAUGGGGUGUUAAGUCAGUUGUGAAAGUUUGCGGCUCAACCGGAAAAUUGCAAUUGAUACUGGCAGUCUUGAGUACAGUUGAGGUAGGCGGAAUGCGUGGUGUAGCGGUGAAAUGCUUAGAUAUCACGAAGAACCCCGAUUGCGAAGGCAGCUUACUAAACUGUGACUGACAUUGAUGCUCGAAAGUGUGGGUAUCAAACAGGAUUAGAUACCCUUGUAGUC